rnacentral:lncRNA from 1 species
GGACCGCGCCAGGCGGAAGCCCGGCUCCGGGCCAGCAUCCGAGAGCCCGGACUGGAGGUGAGUUCGCAGCCGGAACGUUGCAGGCACUUGUUUCCUCAGUGGAUGCCUUUCGGCGCGCCGCCGCCCGGCGCCGCGGGACUGGGAGACCGGGAGUUGAGAAGAGGAGGAAGAAUAAUGGGAGGAGACAGGACCUUUUUCAACUUGACAAAUAGAUUUCUGAGAGAGCAGACACCAUCUUAUUUCUGUUGAAUUGUAUUUAGUAACUCAAAAGGCAUAUACCAAGCUGUCAGAAGCAGCUUCAUUUAAAAGAAAUAAAAUUUCUAGUCCUGCCUGAAGUUUAAGCUAGCCCAUGACUACACAAGUGCAACUGUAUUUCCCAGAAUUAAAGCAGCAGCCUUGGAUCCAGAGAUGGACGCCAAUUGAUGAAGACAGCAGAACUGACUGGCUAGUCUGGGUUCCCUGGAGCAGAGCUGUCUCUCCACCCUAGGUUAUCCACUUACUUUUGUACUGUUAUGUGAGAGAGAAAUAAACUUCUAUCUUCUUUAA